UGGGGAAUAUUGGACAAUGGGGGCAACCCUGAUCCAGCAAUGCCGCGUGAGUGAUGAAGGCCUUCGGGUUGUAAAGCUCUUUUGGCGGGGACGAUGAUGACGGUACCCGCAGAAUAAGCCCCGGCUAACUCCGUGCCAGCAGCCGCGGUAAUACGAAGGGGGCAAGCGUUGUUCGGAAUUACUGGGCGUAAAGGGCGCGUAGGCGGCUUACCAAGUCAGGCGUGAAAUUCCCGGGCUCAACCUGGGGGCUGCGCUUGAUACUGGUGAGCUUGAAUACGGGAGAGGAUAGUGGAAUUCCCAGUGUAGAGGUGAAAUUCGUAGAUAUCGGGAAGAACACCAGUGGCGAAGGCGGCUAUCUGGCCCGGUUCUGACGCUGAUGCGCGAAAGCGUGGGUAGCAAA
rnacentral:rRNA from 1 species